rnacentral:lncRNA from 1 species
CUAAAAAAAAAAAAAUCACAUUCAUAGAAGGAAUUCCAACAGAGCUUUGUCUUAACUCACUAGAUCCUAUGGAAUACUUGACUUUAAAUCUCACUGAAAACCAAAUAACAAAAAUCCAAAGCAAUGAAAAAAUCUCUAGCUAUAGAGAAUGUGCAAUGAUAUGCAAUAGAAAUUAAGAGGAGAAUACAAGUUUGAGAUGGAUGAGUAAUCUGCUGAAGAUCACUGAAUGAAUGUGCAAGGAAACCAUAACAUAAAUCCAUGUCUCUUUCUACUACUCAAUUUUUUCCUGUUACUAAUAUCAUUUUUAAAAAUAAUAUUUAUGGGGUUACAAUUUAUGUUUAAUAAGCUUUACCCAUUUUACCACGUUAUGACCCAACAAGAAAGCCUUCACCAGAUGCGGCCACUUGAUGUUGAACUUCCCAGCCUCUAGAACCACAAGGUCAGCAUAAUAUUUUUCAAACUCAUGCAUGCUCCUGCAUAUAUCAAUAGCUCAUUUGUUUUUAUUGCUGAGUAUUAUUCCAUGGAAUGAAAAUGACAUGACAUCUGUUCAUCCAUUCACUUGUUAAUAGACAUUUAAUUUGCUUCUAAGUUUUGGCUAGAAUAAAUACAAUUUUUAUGAAUAUGCAUGUGCAAGCCUUUGUGUGAACAGUUAUCUUCAUUUAUCUUGGGUAAAUAUCCAGGAGUGCAAUUGCUAAGCCAUUUGGUUCAUAAAAAUUUACUUCAAUAAGACACUGAUAAAUUCUAUUUCAAAGUAGUUGUACCCUUUAAAAUCUUCACCAGAAGUGUAUGAGAGUUCCAUUUGCUCUACAACCUUGCCAAUUUUUUUAGCGUGAGUUUUUUUUAGCAGUUCUAAUAAGUAUUUAUAAUGCUGAACAUCUUUUUCAUAUGUUUAUGGCUAUGUCACUUAUAUAGCUUCUUUUGUAAAAUAUCUGUUCAAAUUUUUCUCCUCUUUAUUGCUUUGGUUAAAAAAUCUUCUUAUUGCAGUGUGUCUGUUUUACAUUUAUAUAUUUUGGAUUCAAGUUUUUUUUUUCAAAUACAUGCAUAACAAAUUUUUUUCACAUUCUGUGUCUUGUUUUUUCAUUUUCCUAAUGAUGUCUUUUUAAAAGAGUGUAAUGUUUGUAAAUCCCAAUUAAUUAAUAUAUUUAAUAGUUAUGUUUCUCUGUUCUAUUUAAGAAAUAUUUGCCUAUACCAGGAUUGUAAAAAUCUUUUUUAUUCUAGAAAUUCUAUAAUUUUAGCAUAUAUACUUAGGUCUAUGAUUCAUGUCAAAUCUAUUUUUAUGUAUGGCAUGGGACGAUUAAUAGAUAUUCAUUUUCUUCCAGAUAGAAUCCUGUUGUUCUAGCAAUAUUUGCUUAAAAGUAAUUUGUUGAAAAUCAGUUGACCAUAUACAUGUGCGGCUAUUCCUAGGCUUUUUAUUCUGUUGCAAAAAAAUUACCUGAAAAUGUCCCAAAUUUCUUGAAAAACAUUUAUUGCAUUAACUACAUCUUCUUCCACCUCCAUUCCACUGUUAAGUUCAUCCAAUAAAUUUGUUGUUACACCUAACA